rnacentral:rRNA from 1 species
GACGAACGCUGGCGGCGUGCUUAAUACAUGCAAGUCGAACGGAGCGACCGGUGCUUGCACUGGUCAAUCUAGUGGCGAACGGUGAGUAACACGUGGGUAACCUGCCCAUCAGAGGGGGAUAACAUUCGGAAACGGAUGCUAAAACCGCAUAGGUCUUCGAACCGCAUGGUUUGAAGAGGAAAAGGGCGCAAGCUUCUGCUGAUGGAUGGACCCGCGGUGCAUUAGCUAGUUGGUGAGGUAACGGCUCACCAAGGCCGUGAUGCAUAGCCGACCUGAGAGGGUGAUCGGCCACAUUGGGACUGAGACACGGCCCAAACUCCUACGGGAGGCAGCAGUAGGGAAUCUUCCGCAAUGGACGCAAGUCUGACGGAGCAACGCCGCGUGGUGAAGAAGGUUUUCGGAUCGUAAAACUCUGUUGUUAGAGAAGAACAAGUGCUAGAGUAACUGUUAGCGCCUUGACGGUAUCUAACCAGAAA